rnacentral:rRNA from 1 species
AUAUCAAUAAGCGGAGGAAAAGAAACCAACAGGGAUUGCCUCAGUAACGGCGAGUGAAGCGGCAACAGCUCAAAUUUGAAAUCUGGCUCUUUCAGGGUCCGAGUUGUAAUUUGUAGAAGAUGCUUCGGGUGUGGCUCCGGUCUAAGUUCCUUGGAACAGGACGUCACAGAGGGUGAGAAUCCCGUAUGUGACUGGGUGCCUUCGCUCAUGUGAAGCUCUUUCGACGAGUCGAGUUGUUUGGGAAUGCAGCUCAAAAUGGGUGGUAAAUUUCAUCUAAAGCUAAAUAUUGGCCAGAGACCGAUAGCGCACAAGUAGAGUGAUCGAAAGAUGAAAAGCACUUUGGAAAGAGAGUUAAACAGUACGUGAAAUUGUUGAAAGGGAAGCGCUUGCAACCAGACUUGCACGCGGUUGAUCAUCCGGUGUUCUCACCGGUGCACUCUGCCGCGUUCAGGCCAGCAUCGGUUUCGGUGGUUGGAUAAAGGCCUAGGGAAUGUAGCUUCUUUCGGGGAGUGUUAUAGCCCUAGGUGCAAUGCAGCCUACCGGGACCGAGGACCGCGCUUCGGCUAGGAUGCUGGCGUAAUGGUUGUAAGCGA